UACGUAGGGGGCGAGCGUUAUCCGGAUUCACUGGGCGUAAAGGGAGCGCAGGCGGCAUGGUAAGUCUGAUGUGAAAACCCGAGGCCCAACCCCGGGAGUGCAUUGGAAACUGCCAGGCUGGAGUGUCGGAGGGGUAAGCGGAAUUCCUAGUGUAGCGGUGAAAUGCGUAGAUAUUAGGAGGAACACCAGUGGCGAAGGCGGCUUACUGGACGACUACUGACGCUGAGGCUCGAAAGCGUGGGGAGCAAACAGG
rnacentral:rRNA from 1 species